UUUCCAUUAGCAGCCAGGACUGGGAAACAAAUGGUCAGAGGAAAUAAGGCUCUCUGAGGCUGUCACCACAGUCACCACAGAAGGGGACUGGCUGGUGAAAAAGAGAGCCACUGGACUGUGCUUGGCUGUGACAGUCCCGCCCCACCCCAGGGUCAAGCCAUUCCCCGGCCACCACCCCUGAACAACCACCACACAAUUAGGUAUUCACUCAACUCGUAACAGACACAUGUGACAAAAACUGUCAUUUUUUAAAAGCCCAGAAACAUAAGAGAACUCCAACAUGCACUCUCUACCCUGCCUAAGAUCAUGGAAAACGGCUCAUUUAGGAAGAAGGACUAAACCACCAUGAAAAUCAGCAGCCUCAUGUAUUCACCCAGAAUAAAAAGUCCUCCACCAGUGCUAAUUCCGGCUCUUCUCCGAUGAUGCUAUGGUCUGCAACUGUAUGUUUUACACACACUCAUGUAACAGUGUCCAGUGAACAAAACUCUGCUGGUCAUUUCCAUGAAACCAAAAUGUAAUAAACUCCCUCGGGAUGGAACUGCCCAA